AAAAUAACUAGUAACUGUAAAAUUGCUUAGGAAGCGUUGGCGUAAGCUAAUGCUUCUCUGGAUCCGUUAAUGUCUUCAAAAAUUUCCUAAAUCUAUUGUAGCUUUGUUUUUACUUUUUUUGCCAAAGUUGCUUUUGUACUGGUUUUCUUUGUAACGCCACAACUUCAUUAUUAAUGAUAUUAACAUAUUUAGCAAAAAAACUGUAAAAUUGCUUGAAAUAGAUGUAGACUAUCAUAAU
rnacentral:sRNA from 1 species